UGAGGCCAACUGUCCGGCUGCUCUCUGGCCCUCGGUUAUUCGGCACAGGUUUGAGUUCUGAUAAGUGUCGAGAAGCAUGAAAUUCCUCAUUUCGCUCAGUCUGCUGCUGGCUGCCUUCUCCUGUGUCCAGGCUAGCGGGUCGCUGACACAGCCGCCGACUCUCACCGGAAAAACCGGCCAGUCCCUGAGACUGACCUGCAGAACCAGCGGAUUUGAUCACGACAGCUACUACUACUGUAUGUACUGGUACCGGCAGCUUCCCGGGAAGCAGCGGGAAAAGCUCCUGACUUCUGACUACAGAUCCAGCAACAGUUUCGAGUCCGGUGUUGGAAACCGCGUCACUGUCGUCAGAGAGAAUUCCAAUAACAUCUUCGAUCUGAUCAUCAAAAGCCCGAGAGUGGAGGACACCGCGACGUACUACUGUGGAGCUUACUCACAAUGGAUUUCACGAGAUUUUAAACGACAUAAAACAUCGGAUUUAUUCUUCAACCUGUUGCACAGUGACUGCAGCAGCCCUGACUACUGGGGACAAGGCACAGCGGUGACGGUGACUGACGGGAAUGUACAACCGAAACCAUUGCCCCCAGUUGUGUUCCUCACACAGCCUUCCCCUGCAGAAAUCAAAAUACACAACCAGGCCACUGCUGUCUGCUCAAUAAACAGCUUCCGUCCGGACAAACUCAGUGUUAAAUGGCUGAAAGACUGGGAACCCAUCACCUCAGGUGUUGUGACCUCUCCCUCGGCUAAAGAGGACAACGGGACAUUCAGCAGCAGCAGCCGCCUGACGGUCCCCGCCAGAGAGUGGGCACUGGCGCGGUUUACACCUGCCAGGUGUCCCAUGAACCCACCCAGACCAUCAUUGUCAAGAACAUCACCACCCCAACAGAUAAUGUACCUAAGCCAACGCCGCCAGUUGUUAUCCUCACACAAACUUCCCCUGAAGACAUCACCAGGCACAACCAGGCCACUGCUGUCUGCUUAGCAUUUGGUUUUCAUCCGGACAUACUCCGGGUUAAAUGGCUAAGAGACUGGCAGCCCAUCACCUCAGGUGUUGUGAGUUCUCCCUCGGUUAAAGAAGACAACGUGACAUUCAGCACCAGCAGCCGCCUGACUGUCCCCGCCAGAGAGUGGAGGAGUGGCGCGGUUUAUACCUGCCAGGUUUCCCAUGAACCCACCCACACCAUCAUUGUCAAGAACAUCACCUCAGAAUGCGAGGAUCCCUCUGGAGGUGUCAAGAUCUAUAUCCUGCCACCUGCACAGCGACAGGUUUUGAUGGAUUCCUCUGUAACGCUAACAUGUGUCGUGGUUAAUGCACCACUUCAUGUCAACGUGACUUGGACACAAGGAAAUACACAUUUGCAGUCUGGAUAUGGGAAAACUUCUGCCACUGAGCCUCAGAAAGUGAUCAGUAAAUUAAACAUUUCUGUAUUAGACUGGAACAGUGGUAAAGAAUACUUCUGUGUAGCCAGCCAUGAUGAUAUACCAUCUCCCAUCAGAGAAAAGACGUUUAAGAAGACAGUGGAGCACGUGAAACGACCUUCAGUGUAUCUCCUCCUCCCGUCGGCAGAAGAAUUGUCUGCUCAGCAGUCUGUCACCCUCACCUGCCUGGUGAAGGACUUCGCUCCCAAAGAGAUCUUUGUGCAGUGGACUGAGAAUGACCAGGUGAUUGAUGGCAGUAACUACAAGAACACUGAUGUGAUGGCAGACAGUGCAGAUCGCAACUACUCCAUGUACAGCAUGUUGUCCAUCUCAGCCGGAGACUGGGGCAGAGGAAACUCCUACUCCUGUGUGGUCGGACAUGAAACUUUCCCAAUGAAGACUCUGACCAGAUCCGUUAAUAAAUCCAGCGGUAAACCGAGUUUUGUAAAUAUUUCCCUUGUCCUGAUGGACACCGUGAAUGCCUGUCAAUGAGUGUCCCUCAAUACCAUGUUGCCUAUUCUCUUAUGCAACCGCUUCCCUCCCAUUGCAUUGGCUGUUUGUUUUCAUGAACAAGUAACUCAAAUAAAGAUUAUAGUUGCAUUGAUGUGUCAGGUA